CCAGUAGUCAUAUGCUUGUUUCAAAGAUUAAGCCAUGCAUGCAUAAGUACUAACUCAAUGAAAAGUGAAACCGCAAAUGGCUCAUUAAAUCAGUCACUAUUUACUAGGCCGUAAUCCAUUGGAUAUCUUUGGAAAAACUAGAGCUAAUACAUGCCAAGAGUAUCGGACCUUUCGGGGGACGAUUGCACUUAUUAGACACAUAAACCAGAAACUGGUGGUGUGACUCUAGUAGAAAGCAGAUCGCGUAGGUCUUGCACCUGCGGCGGGUCUUGCAAACGUCUGCCUUAUCAACUAGAUGGUAGGGUAAUGGCCUACCAUGGUUGUAACGGGUGACGGGGAAUCAGGGUUCGAUUCCGGAGAGGCAGCCUGAGAGACGGCUACCACAUCCAAGGAAGGCAGCAGGCACGAAAAUUCCCAAUCCCAGAAAAGGGAGGUAGUGACGAAAAAUAACAAUGCGGGACUCUUACGAGGCCCCGUAAUUGGAAUGAGAGAAGUGUAAAAGCAUUAUUUGAAAGUCUACUGAAGGGCAAGUCUGGUGCCAGCAGCCGCGGUAAUUCCAGCUUCAGUAGCGUAUAUUAAAGUUGUUGUGGUUAAAAAGCUCGUAGUUGGAUGUUGAUCAUGGGCAAGUGGACGUCCUUCGGGGCGCAUNCCGCUUGUGCCGAGACAAAUUCCCUGGCUGCCCUUGAUGCUCUUGAUCGGGUGUCAAUGGGUGGCUGGAGACUUUACUUUGAAAAAAUUAAACUGCUCAAAGGAAGCGUGGCUUAUGAAUACCUAAGCAUGGAAUAAUGGAAUAGGACCUCGAGUCUAUUUUGUUGGUUUCUAGAAGCGAGGUAAUGAUUAAUUGGGACUGCCGGGGGCAUACGUAUUGCUUGGCGAGAGGUGAAAUUCUUGGACCCUUGCAAGACGACCUAAAGCGAAAGCAUUUGCCCAGAAUGUUUCCAUUAAUCAAGAACGAAAGUUAGAGGUUCGAAGGCGAUCAGAUACCGCCCUAGUUCUAACCAUAAACGUUGUCGACCAGCGAUCAGCAUGCGUUCCUCUUAAGACGCUGCUGGCAACUUCAGGGAAACCAAAGUUUUUGGGUUCCUGGGGAAGUAUGGUUGCAAAGCUGAAACUUAAAGGAAUUGACGGAAGGGCACCACCAGGAGUGGAGCCUGCGGCUUAAUUUGACUCAACACGGGAAAGCUCACUCGGCCCGGACACUGAAAGGAUUGACAGAUUGAGAGCUCUUUCUUGAUUUAGUGGGUGGUGGUGCAUGGCCGUUCUUAGUUGGUGGAGCGAUUUGUCUGGUUCAUUCCGGUAACGAACGAGACUCACUCUUAUUAAAUAGAUGAUCGAUACCGUCGGUCGAUCAAAUGUCUUCUUAGAGGGACAGUUGGUAAACAGCCAGACGAGAUAGAGCAAUAACAGGUCUGUGAUGCCCUUAGAUGUCCGAGGCCGCACGCGGGCUACACUGAGAAAAUCAGCGAGUCGUUCAAAUCCAUGUCCAUUAGGUCAUGGUAAUCCGCUGAAAGUGUUUCGUGCUUGGGACUGGGGCUUGAAAUUAUAGCCCACAAACGAGGAAUUCCUGGUAAGGACUAGUCAUCAACUGGUCUUGACUAUGUCCCUGCCCUUUGUACACACCGCCCGUCGCUACUACCGAUUGAAUGGUUUAGUGAGGUCUUCGACGUGGAGCCUGGCGAGAGACCUUCGUGGUCUUCGAGCCUGCCGCCCCGCAUAGAUGGCCUAACUUGACCGUUUAGAGGAAGUAAAAGUCGUAACA
rnacentral:rRNA from 1 species